rnacentral:rRNA from 1 species
GACGAACGCUGGCGGCGUGCUUAACACAUGCAAGUCGUACGGUAAGGCCCUUUCGGGGGUACACGAGUGGCGAACGGGUGAGUAACACGUGAGUAACCUGCCCACAACUUUGGGAUAACGCUAGGAAACUGGUGCUAAUACUGGAUAUGUGCUCCUGCUGCAUGGGGGGGGUUGGAAAGCUCCGGCGGUUGUGGGUGGACUCGCGGCCUAUCAGCUUGUUGGUGGGGUAGUGGCCUACCAAGGCGGCGACGGGUAGCCGGCCUGAGGGGGUGACCGGCCACAUUGGGACUGAGAUACGGCCCAGGCUCCUACGGGAGGCAGAAGGGGGGAAGAUUGCACAAUGGGCGCAAGCCUGAUGCAGCAACGCCGCGGGCGGGAUGACGGCCUUCGGGUUGUAAACCGCUUUCAGCAGGGACGAAGCUUUUUGUGACGGUACCUGCAGAAGAAGCACCGGCUAACUACGUG